UUCUAGUGAGGGAAAGGAAGAGGUUGGGAGUAACCAAUUUACUGAUCCUCUGUAGCCCUGGGCAAAGCGAGGGAAGGAUGGAGGACAAUGAGACUCACAUGAAUUUGCCCUGAAACGUUGGACUCGACGGUAUUUACAUGAAAUCCUGGGUUCUCAUCUCAGACAUGGGAAAAAAAGAAAGGAAGAAAGACUGUUUGCGGAAAUACCCUUCGAAGCCAAUACUGUUCUUUGUUCCUCUUGUGUUGGAAAGGACUGGAAGGUGCUUUCCGUUACUAAGAUCUCAAGCCCAGCCCUGUGUAGAUAAGGGAGAAGUACUAAUUCUUCCAAGCACCUCAUAAGAAUGCUUUGCCUCUGCCAUUAAGUUGACUUCAAAGUUCUGCCUGGAGAAAUUCGUCUUUGGCAUCUCCUCGUACCAGUUCAGACCUGAGCUUUUGACCUAUUUUUUUGGAAGUCGCGUGCACUGGUAAACACGGAUUUCAGAAUCAAACUAGAGAAGAAGCAAAUCUCAGGGAAGGGAUCACUUCAGCUCCUUCCCCAGGAGACUGCUUCGAUCCGUGAAUGUGGGUGACAAACCAGAGGAGAUGAGCUGAUCCUGAGCAGAUGUUUGGAACAACAUCAUGAGGAUGAGGGGAACAUUGCAGGGUCUGAAACCGAAUAAGCUCCUGGGUAUUAGUGGGAGAAAACUGUGGCUGGUUCUAGGCUUGCCUGACUUUUGGCUCAGUGCGGUGAGUGCUCUCUCUUCCCCCUCUUCCUCCUUGUCUCCUCCUCUGGCUUACUCUGUUUUAGGACUGUUAUAAGCAAAACCCCACCAAAAAGAGUGGGGGACGUUAUUAACAUUUCAAAGGGUUCACGGAUGGAGUGGGAAGCCCUGAAGGUAGAUCAGGAGAUGCCGGGGCAGAUCCUUCUCCAGGCAGGAGUUUUUCUUCUUCCGGUGUCUUACACUCUGAAGAAGAACAUCAGCUGAUUGGAGAGUAGAGACAAUACUAAAGAUAUGUCUCAUUCUCUUAUUUCCUAUAUACCAACCCAAUUAGUUUCUCUGGUACAAACCUGGAAUGAAAACUAACAUGUAUUAAAUGCAAUACAGGACAAACAUGAAUACGACAUUCUCUUUGAUCAUCUUGGACUUGAUGACAGGGAGAUGAAUGAACAUCAUUAAGGACUGUCCACAAAUGAAGCAGUGGUUCCCCCCCCAUCCCCCAAGACCGAUUUCUUAACUACACAUACAAAGGUGUGAGGGCAUGGGAGGGUUAAGGUUUGAGUUUCCAUCAAAUCACUGUAAUCUGAACCUGGUCCUCAAAUGACUAUUAUGCCCAAAGUUUCUUGGUGAAAUACAACUCAUUGUGAAUUCUGAUUGCAUUUCCUAUUCCCUUCCAAAAAAACAGAAAGGAAAUUAAGUUAUAUUUGAUUACAUUACAAAAAAGCCAACUGGUGUCUGGGCAGUCAUUACCAUGCCCGAGGGA